UACAGAGGUCUCAAGCGUUGUUCGGAAUCACUGGGCGUAAAGGGUGCGUAGGUGGCGUGGUAAGUCAGAUGUGAAAGCCCGGGGCUCAACCUCGGAAUUGCAUCCGAUACUGCCGUGCUUGAGUACUGGAGAGGUGACUAGAAUUCUAGGUGUAGCAGUGAAAUGCGUAGAUAUCUAGAGGAAUACCAAAGGCGUAGGCAGGUCACUGGACAGUUACUGACACUGAGGCACGAAGGCCAGGGGAGCAAACGGG
rnacentral:rRNA from 2 species